AUGGGUCUUAUUAAGCUUAAUGUCGACGCCUCUUAUGACCAUGAUUUACUUAGGGGCACGGCUGGGGCUGUUCUCAGAGAUGAUAAUGGAAGAUUCAUUGUUGGUGGAAACUGGAGGAUUGAUUGGUGUGCUGACGUAUUAACAUCAAAAGCUUUGGCUCUAAGAUUCGGCCUAUCCCUUGCACAAAAGGCGGGAUGCAAUCGUCUUCUUGUUAAUUCUGAUAAUAUGGAGGUGAUUGAAGUAAUGAAAAAUGGAGGACAUUCGGCGGGAGCGGCGGCAGUAGUAUUCGAUGAUUGCUAUUUCAUAUCUUGUGAUUUUCUUGUUAGAUUUGAACAUUUUAAUGGGGAAGCAAAUAAGGUGGCUCAUGAAAUUGCCAGGCUAGCAAAAUUUUCAGCCACUACAGACUGGUUUGAGGAGCCUAUGAGAGAUAUUGUUCAUUUACUUAUUGACGAUGUAACUAUUAUUUCUAAUUAA
rnacentral:rRNA from 1 species